rnacentral:lncRNA from 10 species
GAAAAGUGCCCCCAGGAAGAAUGCGGCUUUUGCCUCAUGUUUUUCUUUUCUCUCAAGGAUUAUAGCUUCAUAUUACCAUUGCCUAAUGUCUGAAUAUAGAUACUUCAUAUACUUUGUUCAGUUUUGUAGUUGUUUAUAGCAGGAUGGGAAAGUCUCCAGGAAAGUGGAAGUGUUUACCAAGCCCCUCUAAGUUGGGUAACUCCAAACCCUGUCUCCCUUGUGUAUAAAGCUUGCUGGUGGCAAUUUACCCCAGUGUGACUAUCGGGAGCAGUGAAAUCUGCUGGAGAGAAGCCACAUGUACAUUUUUCUCAGUAAAAUGAUGACAAGAGAUCAAUUAAGGAGAAAGAAGAAUGUUAAUCCAACAUGGAAAAGGCCCACCCUAAUUGAAGAAUGGUGAACAGGAUUCUGGUCAAUGAAUUAUAGCCUCAUUUUAAAAUUCACUCAUCCAUUUGAUAAUUAAUUAUAAUGGCAUCUUACAUAAUCAUCAGAGGCUUUCUCUGAAAAAUACAUGGAGAGUUUUGUGCUAUCAUCACCAGAGCCAGCAAUUCAACCUAAAUUCUGAGUGUAAUGGAAGCCGUUAAUCACUAUCAAGUUCAUCAUUUUUUUUUCAUGGCAAGUAAUAUUCAUAUCAGUGAUUGCUAUUCCACUAAGAAAUUCUAAAUGUUUCAUAAAAAUGAAACACCACAUAAUAAGAGACUAAAUCAUAUGAAACAAAAUUUUGACUUUUGAAUGUAUCACUCAAGGCCAAUGGAUGAUAAUUUCUCUUUAUGAUUCUACAGGUAGCUCAUUUAUUUCUUUUCUCAUAUAUUUGACUUAUUAUAGGGCCCUGCAGCCCUUUCUGAGCAUCAUUAACUAUAUUUGUCGAAUCAUUAAUCUAAAAAUUAAAAGCUAUUUAAUACUUUUGUUUCAUCUGCUUAACUAAUUACACAGAAAUAAACCAAUUUUUCUAUUACUUUUCUCGGUGCCUUCUGCAUUUAUACAGCCUUAAUGCAUUGUGCAUAUGUAUAGGUCUUUCUCUUAACCCAAACCCCUGCUGUUGUUCUUUCUGCACACAUGUUAAUGACUCAUGAUCACUAUGACCUCACUAAUCUUUUACAUCUUCUACUCUAAUGACCUUGAUCAAUUCAUUCACUAUACAGAGCUUGUUGUCAUUUGGCUUUGACUUACCAAACUUCAAAGUUUCAUCCCUGACUACUCUUCUAUUCUCAUUUUCUUCCUCUUCUUCCUUAAGUGCAUGAUGACAUCAUUUCCUCCACCUCUCUGAAUAUUUUCAAGAUAUUUCUUUCCAUCAUUGCUUGCUCCUCUCUAUAUAUUCCGAACCCAGUGGGCAGAUACUCUACAGUUAUGCUCAUUAAUCAUAAAAAUCACAAAUAUAUAGUUUCAGCUUAAACAUCUCUCCUGGGCCACAAACAUAUUUUUCCAGCAUGUUUUCUCAAAUACACUUCCAAAUAAAAAUCCUUAAUACAUCUUCCCCAUCUUGUGUUCUUUAUUCUACUUAAAGCCAUUCAGAAUACAAAUCUUGUCAUCUCUAUUUCUCUCCUUUCUCAUAAUUUUAUUCAAUCAUCAAGACUUGCUAUCUCACUUUCUAUGACUAUAUCAAGCUUAUAUCCUUAUUAAAAAAACAUCCUACAGCAUUGCCUAGUUAAGUACCUCACAAUCUCUCACCUGAAAAAUUGCAACAGCUUUUUAGAAUAGUCUCCUUUUUUCCCUUUUCUCCCUACUGUAGUGAAUCUCUCCAGUCCGAUUUUAUCCUUUCUGUGUUUAAAAUCCUUUAUUAAUUCCAUACUGCAUGCAGAAUGUUGUCUAAACUUUGACUCUAACAUUAAAGCACAUUGACUAUAAAUCCUACUCCAUUUUCCAGAGUUUUUAUCUCAAUUUUUCUACUCCUAAAGUUUACAUUCUAGUCAAACCAAACUACUUUUCCCUUUUUCUGUCUUUCAUUAAAAUAAAUUAUCAUGAUAGUAUAACUUUGAAAAGCUUUGGAGUUUUAUUUUAUCUUAUUUUAGAUUCAGGGAGUACAUGUGCAGUUUUGUCACGUGGGUAUAUUGUGUGACGCUGAGGUUUGAACUUCUAAUGAUUCCCUUACACAAGUAGUGAACAUAAUAUCUGAUAGGUAGUUU